GCCAGUGUGACAUAAUGGUUUGAGUUUUGGACUAUGACUCCGGAGACCAGGGUUCAAUUCUCCACUUGGCCA